UAAGUUUUAAGUUAUACAAACUGUGAGCCUUCAAAGUUCUUAAAGAGCAAUUUCAGACUU
rnacentral:tRNA from 1 species